GACGAACGCUGGCGGCGUGCUUAACACAUGCAAGUCGAACGAAGAGCGAUGGAAGCUUGCUUCUAUCAAUCUUAGUGGCGAACGGGUGAGUAACGCGUAAUCAACCUGCCCUUCAGAGGGGGACAACAGUUGGAAACGACUGCUAAUACCGCAUACGAUCUAAUCUCGGCAUCGAGGAUAGAUGAAAGGUGGCCUCUACAUGUAAGCUAUCACUGAAGGAGGGGAUUGCGUCUGAUUAGCUAGUUGGAGGGGUAACGGCCCACCAAGGCGAUGAUCAGUAGCCGGUCUGAGAGGAUGAACGGCCACAUUGGGACUGAGACACGGCCCAGACUCCUAUGGGAGGCAGCAGUGGGGAAUCUUCCGCAAUGGACGAAAGUCUGACGGAGCAACGCCGCGUGAGUGAUGACGGCCUUCGGGUUGUAAAGCUCUGUUAAUCGGGACGAAAGGCCUUCUUGCGAAUAGUGAGAAGGAUUGACGGUACCGGAAUAGAAAGCCACGGCUAACUACGUG
rnacentral:rRNA from 1 species